GGGCGUAAAGCGAGCGCAGGCGGAAAAAUAAGUCUAAUGUGAAAGCCCUCGGCUUAACCGAGGAACUGCAUCGGAAACUGUUUUUCUUGAGUGCAGAAGAGGAGAGUGGAACUCCAUGUGUAGCGGUGGAAUGCGUAGAUAUAUGGAAGAACACCAGUGGCGAAGGCGGCUCUCUGGUCUGCAACUGACGCUGAGGCUCGAAAGCAUGGGUAGCGAACAGGAUUAGAUACCCUGGUAGUCCAUGCCGUAAACGAUGAGUGCUAAGUGUUGGGAGGUUUCCGCCUCUCAGUGCUGCAGCUAACGCAUUAAGCACUCCGCCUGGGGAGUACGACCGCAAGGUUGAAACUCAAAGGAAUUGACGGGGGCCCGCACAAGCGGUGGAGCAUGUGGUUUAAUUCGACGCAACGCGAAGAACCUUACCAGGUCUUGACAUCUAGUGCAAUCUGUAGAGAUACGGAGUUCCCUUCGGGGACGCUAAGACAGGUGGUGCAUGGCUGUCGUCAGCUCGUGUCGUGAGAUGUUGGGUUAAGUCCCGCAACGAGCGCAACCCUUGUUAUUAGUUGCCAGCAUUAAGUUGGGCACUCUAAUGAGACUGCCGGUGACAAACCGGAGGAAGGUGGGGAUGACGUCAAGUCAUCAUGCCCCUUAUGACCUGGGCUACACACGUGCUACAAUGGGCAGUACAACGAGAAGCAAGCCUGCGAAGGCAAGCGAAUCUCUGAAAGCUGUUCUCAGUUCGGACUGCAGUCUGCAACUCGACUGCACGAAGCUGGAAUCGCUAU
rnacentral:rRNA from 1 species